AGUACUGUAUGUAAAUUACCAUAAGGGUUUCUACCAAUCAAAUGUAUAUAUUGUCAGAAAAUGUCUUUAGUAAUGUUGUGAGGUUACAAAUCUGUACAUAGGGGGCUGCAUACAGUGAUUGCUUGUACAACAGGCCUUGCUAAAUGCUGACUUUAUACCCUGUGUUACUAUAGCAUUCUUUUCCUGCUCUCUGGAAUGUGGUCACAGCAGGCUGCUGAUAAUGCAGCCACAACACGCACCAGCGGGAAGCUAGGAGGUGAGCACAAGAGCUGAAAUCAAAAUCCUCUGUGCCUAAUCAGCCCUAAAAUUAAUGUCUGCGUAAAAACAUUGGCUCCCUGAAGAAGACCGCUACUAUGAAGGUCGAAACGCGUAGGUCUUUUUUCGCAUAUAGUGCUUAUAUGCAUAUAGUACUGUUCAAAUUUGAAUUAUCAUUGUUACCAUGUUGUGAUGUAUUUCUUUGCCUUUCUGUUUAUGGAUUGAUUUUAUCAAAGCUCAUAUACUGAGUUCCCUUUUUUGUCUAGGGGCUCUUUUUUGAUACCCUAUCAAUAAAUGUAUACUUUUUUA